UACGUAGGGUGCGAGCGUUAAUCGGAAUUACUGGGCGUAAAGUGUGCGCAGGCGGCCGAGCAAGUCGAGUGUGAAAGCCCCGGGCUUAACUUGGGAAUUGCGCUCGAAACUACUUGGCUGGAGUGUGGCAGAGGGGGGUGGAAUUCCACGUGUAGCGGUGAAAUGCGUAGAGAUGUGGAGGAACACCGAUGGCGAAGGCAGCCCCCUGGGUCAAGAUUGACGCUCAUGCACGAAAGCGUGGGGAGCAAACAGG
rnacentral:rRNA from 1 species